rnacentral:sRNA from 1 species
AUCAAUUAGAUGAGGAAUUCCCGAGGAUGGGUAAUUGAGUAGUUUUGUUUCCUCAGUUUACAGGUGAUUGACAUGCUCAAUAAAUUAUCCCUAGACAACAAGUUUAAUAACCAAAUCUAAGUGUCACCGCAACAGAGACCCUCAAGUUACACCAGUCCCAGACUCAAUCACCAUUGACAAGAGCUAACUUAACAGGCAUUAAC